GAUGAACGCUGGCGGCGUGCCUAACACAUGCAAGUCGAACGAAGCGUCUUAAAGGAAGUUUUCGGAUGGAAUUUGGGAUGACUGAGUGGCGGACGGGUGAGUAACGCGUGGAUAACCUGCCUCAUACAGGGGGAUAACAGCUAGAAAUGGCUGCUAAUACCGCAUAAGCGCACAGUGCCGCAUGGCAGUGUGUGAAAAACUCCGGUGGUAUGAGAUGGAUCCGCGUCCGAUUAGCUGGUUGGUGAGGUAACGGCCCACCAAGGCGACGAUCGGUAGCCGGACUGAGAGGUUGAACGGCCACAUUGGGACUGAGACACGGCCCAG
rnacentral:rRNA from 1 species